AAAGAUGAAGGAAACAAGAAAAGUAUCAUAGAUGCUGGUGCCUUGGAACCCAUAAUUGGCUUUCUUCAAUCAGAGAAAGCAAGUUUACAAGAGCAUGCCACUGCUUCAUUACUCACAUUAUCAGCAUCUUCUGUCACGAAACCGAUCCUUACUUCUUUUGGUGUCAUCCCUCUACUUGUUGAUAUUCUAAGAUGCGGUAGCCCACAAGCCAAGGUUGAUUCUAUAAGCACUUUAUACAAUCUUUCAACUUCUCAAGGCAAUUUAACAUUGAUCCUUCAAACAGAACCAGUUUCUUCUAUAGUUACUCUGCUUAAAUCCUGUAAAAAGU
rnacentral:misc_RNA from 1 species